rnacentral:lncRNA from 1 species
AUCCGACUAUGAGAAGGAGCAACAAAUUGAGACAUUGGCCCCAUGCAAGGUGUCAUUUCGAUGAUCUACAGCUAUUGCUACUUGCUAGCCAACAGAGAACGCAACUAGUCAACAAGCUCCACCACCGAAGGUUCUUCAGCCACCUCCAUAGUAAGUAGCAGCCAUUGGUGUGGAGCAGUUCCAUUUGCUAUUUCAAUAAGUCC